rnacentral:rRNA from 1 species
UACGAAGGGGGCUAGCGUUGCUCGGAAUCACUGGGCGUAAAGGGUGCGUAGGCGGGUCUUUAAGUCAGGGGUGAAAGCCCGAGGCUCAACCUCGGAACUGCCUUCGAUACUGCGGGUCUCGAGUCCGGGAGAGGUGAGUGGAAUUCCUAGUGUAGAGGUGAAAUUCGUAGAUAUUAGGAAGAACACCAGUGGCGAAGGCGGCUCACUGGCCCGGUACUGACGCUGAGGCGCGAAAGCGUGGGGAGCAAACAGG